rnacentral:rRNA from 1 species
ACGGAGGGAGCAAGCGUUGUUCGGAAUUACUGGGCGUAAAGGGCGCGUAGGCGGUCAAGUAAGUCGGAUGUGAAAUGCCGGGGCUCAACCCCGUGCACUGCAUCCGAUACUGUUUGACUAGAGAAAGGUAGAGGCGAGCGGAAUUCCCGGUGUAGCGGUGGAAUGCGUAGAUAUCGGGAAGAACAUCAGCGGCGAAGGCGGCUCGCUGGGCCUUUUCUGACGCUGAAGCGCGAAAGCGUGGGGAGCAAACAGG